rnacentral:rRNA from 1 species
GAUCCUGGCUCAGGAUGAACGCUAGCUACAGGCUUAACACAUGCAAGUCGAGGGGCAGCGGGAUUGAAGCUUGCUUCAAUUGCCGGCGACCGGCGCACGGGUGAGUAACGCGUAUCCAACCUUCCGUACACUCAGGGAUAGCCGUUUCGAAAGAAAGAUUAAUACCUGAUGGUAUCUUAAGCACACAUGUAAUUAAGGAUUAAAGAUUUAUCGGUGUACGAUGGGGAUGCGUUCCAUUAGGUAGUAGGG